rnacentral:rRNA from 1 species
UACGUAGGGGGCAAGCGUUAUCCGGAAUUACUGGGUGUAAAGGGUGCGUAGGUGGCGAUUUAAGUCAGAUGUGAAAACUCAGGGCUCAACCUUGAGACUGCAUCUGAAACUGAGUUGCUAGAGUGCAGGAGAGGAAAGCGGAAUUCCCAGUGUAGCGGUGAAAUGCGUAGAUAUUCGGAGGAACACCAGUAGCGAAGGCGGCUUUCUGGACUGUAACUGACACUGAGGCACGAAAGCGUGGGGAGCAAACAGG